rnacentral:lncRNA from 1 species
UUGAAUUAAAACCAAUAAUUCACAACUGAAUAAACAUUAAAAGACAAAAAUAGAAGUAAAGAAGAAGAUAGAAUCUGUUGUCUGCAAAUCUGAUAUUCCCUUCGUGCUCCUUCUUUGAACCUUCAAUGGUCUCCAAAUUGCUUCAAUCUCUAAAUCUAAUAAAAACUAGGUUUUUCCUAAUCUACUAUACUAUAAUCUAAUGGAAUGGAAUCCCCUAAUCCUUGUGAAUACUCUUCCUUUUAUAUCCCUCUUCAUGUGUCUUUAAGUCUUCCUUAAAGUCCUUCAAACCAUCAGCCCGAACCAAUCAUUCUUGCACUCAACUUCUGAAAAACUCUCUUUUUUCCCGAUAACUUAGCCUCAGUGCAGAUUUUACACUAGGAAACUUAGCCCAUGCGCAUAAACAGUACCAUAAAUUACAAAAAUGCCAUUAAGCCCCAUUUUUCAUGUUUUGACCCUCCGAAGCCGUUUCCUACAACACAAACACAAAAACAAUUGAAAUGACACUAAAAAUACUUAAAGUUAACAAAGAAUUAAGCCUAAAUGGUGUCCAAAUUAUAGGUACAAAACCCACUCAUCAAAUACCCUCAAACUCAAGACUUUUCUUGUUCUCAAGCAAAAACACAAAAGAAAUAAAAUAAACAAACUAACCUAAUUACAUGAAUGCAUAUGCACGAUCUUCUACCUAUAAUGCCUACGAACCCAACAACAAAUCAAUAUGAUAUCUAGCAACAGGCCUCAAAGAUACCACUACAAAACUCAAAUAGCGUAUCCAAUCAAGUCAAAGUCCAUAACUGUAACCAAUCAGUCAAUCCCAACCUGUCAUCACCCAUGUUGUGCGUGUGUGCUGGUUAGCCAUUCUAACCAACAAUAGUUCAAGAUUAGCCACAUAACAAACUUAUUAGAAGGAAAAUUUUAGUUCCAAUUCAAGUAUAUCUGCAAACAUGAAAAUUUCGAUUAAAACUAAGCAAAUACCAAGUCUAGGGGUAAAUACAAGAUUUAUUUAUACCUUGUUCAAUCACGAGGGCAUUUUUUCUCUUUCUCGUGUUUACACUUGAUUGUGCAAUGUCUAGUUCUCUUAGGCUUUUCAAUGUUACCUAUGUAAUGAACUUUUGACCACCGACUCCCAAACCAGAUGGUCUUAGGGCGCUGGGUGUAAAGACAUCCCCUAGGGCUUACUUGUUCAAGUAACAAAGGCCACAAAACCAAACUAGUCAAUGAACUUAUUCAUAUAUUUUUAUAUUUUUUCUUUUCUGGAUUUUCUAUUUUUUUAUUUUUAUCAUUUUUUAUAUAUACCCCAUAGAUUCCUCCAAACUCAAGCUUUUACCAUAUAUUAACCUUUACUGCUAGUUCACUACUUUCCUUAAAUUUUAACUAAGAUUUUUUCCCAGAAACAAAUUAUGAAACCCUUGAACUAAGUUGAUUUAAACAGUUAAACCUUAAGUGCUAACCAAUUACAUAAGUUUCAGACAGGCUCAGAUUUGAAUCUCGAUUAAAAUUAAAACUCAUCAUCAAUCAUCAAUAUUGUUUAAGUUAACAUGUAAAAACCAAUCUGAUCAUAGGCCAAGCCAAAUUCAAAUCAAUCCAUUGCUUAGAUUCAUGCAAACAUUCUAAAUGCAAAAGAAAAUAUUUUUGUGAUUUUUAAAAUUUUACUUUUUUUUUAUGAAAUAUGCCUACAAUAUGCAAAACUAACUAACAAUUGCAAUGUAUAUGAACUAAACAAUUAUGUAAUGCAAUAUGAUCCACCCCCAAACUUAAAGUGAACAAUGUCCUUAUUGUUUAAAUAGAAAGAAUUAAAACUGAGAACUUCCCUAAAUGGUCAAACGUCACGCUCGACCUCCGCAUCAUCGAUGUCUGGUGGUGGAUAAACUGGCGAUGGCUACGGGAUAGAAAAUUAAAAGGGCUUGGCAUUAAGGUUCAUUCUUGCACGCAUCUAUGCCUCAACCCGAAUCUUAUGUUGAAUGCUCAUAUCGGUGUCUAUUGGCAGCCAUGUUACUACCACACUUAAGAAAAAGAAUUUCAAAUUGGGUGGGCCACUGAUGAAUGCCUUGUGAAUAUGCAAACAUGAUGCUUAGUCUUUGAAACCCUCUAACAAACACCUUGUGUGCUGACUGCACUGUCAUAUCAAACCCUCCCCCAAACUCGAUUGACAACCACUUUGCAAAUUAUACAGCCAAUUACCACAGUUCAACCAAAAUACAUCCAAAUCAUGAGUGGUUGAUGAAGUUAUAUGGAUUACAUUGACUGUGGUUGGAAUAGCCAGAAUUGGGUGCAUCAAAUCAUGAGUGAUCAUUUCGGAAUGCGUAAUUGUUGCCCAGAGUUGGUUGAAACUAUACUAUAGGCUGAUCCGUGUGAACUCCCCUAAUGUGGUCUGAUAGAACUCUAGUUUGGAGAUGAAUUCCCUUGAUGGCGAAGUUGAUUAUUCGGUUGGAACAUUGGUUAGUUUUUUUUUUGAAGCAAAUCUCUCGUUGUGUGCUUGUAGCCAAUUCAUUUCCCUAUCUAUCUGUUAGGAGUUUCAAUUUGUGGUUGUCAAAAUAUGUGAUGCUACUGAUAUUGCUAAACCCUCAAAUUGUGAAGUGAAGCCCUACAAUGAGAAUAUGGGCAGAGGUUGGAUAUGUUGUGAAUGCGAUUGUGGAAGAGAUUAGAGAUGGAUAUGGUGACGAUUUGAUGAGAGAAGGUUGAGGGGAAGUUUUCAAAAGUUAGGGCUCUGUUUUAUGUUUGAGGAAGGGGAGGAGUUGUUCUGAAUGCAAAUAAGGGAAGUAUUUUUAAAAAAACUAUGAAAUCGCGUUUCUCAUCGGGCCGCACAUUUUUAUUCAGUAAACUGCACCGGGGCGCAAAUUGGAAGAUGAGUCUGAGCCUAGGCGUGGUGAGAAUGCCGCUGGGGUGGUUUUUGGUAGAGGAGUCUACGCCGGGGAACAUUCUCCAUGGGUUAAAUUUUCGCCAGGGCGCAAAUGGUGUUUCCUGGAAAAAAAAUUCCUUUAGCUUACACAUUGAACCCCUAAUGCCUGCAAUGUUGAGAGACA